UGGAUGUGGUAUAUUAGUAGCAACAGUAUGUUGGGGCUGUUUAUCCAUUUCUUCAGCAACAUGUUUAGGCAGCCAUUGUUUUACCUCUCUGCCUCGUCUAUGAGCACCCUCUAUAACCUGGUUUUGUCUCCCUUGAGGUUGAUUAUCCCUUGGUUCUUCACGUCAACAUACAUGGCCAAACCUUGUACAUUUUUUGCAAAAUAUAGGUUUCCAGUCAUAAGCCACCUGCUGGUUGUUAAUCUUUCCACUGGGAUCAGAAAUCUCAACCACAUCUGGUAGAUCUUGAGUCACGUUCAUCUCUACUAAAGACUCUAGCGUAGGACACUGUACUUUGUUUUGUAGUACAAGCAUCAGCAAAUAAUGGCCUCCCUAAUCGGCUAGUAAUUUUGCUAAGAGCCUCCGCUCCCC
rnacentral:lncRNA from 1 species